rnacentral:rRNA from 1 species
AGCAGCAGCCCGGGAAUACGUAGGGUGCGAGCGUUAAUCGGAAUUACUGGGCGUAAAGCGUGCGCAGGCGGUUCGUUAAGACAGAUGUGAAAUCCCCGGGCUUAACCUGGGAACUGCAUUUGUGACUGGCGAGCUAGAGUAUGGCAGAGGGGAGUAGAAUUCCACGUGUAGCAGUGAAAUGCGUAGAUAUCGGAAGGAACACCUGUGGCGAAAGCGGCUCACUGGACCAUUUCUGACGCUGAUGCACGAAAGCUAGGGGAGCAAACAGGAUUAGAUACCCGAGUAGUCCCUGUCUCUUAUACC